GCAGAGUAGAUGAAUACGCGUUGCGCCGCAUAUGCGGUGCGCAGUGCCGUGCGGACGGGGAGUUGCCGCAUGGACGAAAAGCAAGUGCUUACGGUGUGUUUGUCGCAUCCCGCUGC
rnacentral:ncRNA from 1 species